rnacentral:rRNA from 1 species
GAUGAACGCUAGCGGCAGGCUUAAUACAUGCAAGUCGAACGGUAAGGUCUCUUCGGAGAUACACGAGUGGCGCACGGGUGCGUAACGCGUAUGCAACCUACCUUUAACUGGGAAAUAGCCCCGAGAAAUCGGGAUUAAUGUCCCAUACUAUUCUGAGGAUACCUAUCCUUAGAAUGAAAGCUCCGGCGGUUAUUGAUGGGCAUGCGUGACAUUAGCUAGUUGGUGAGGUAACGGCUCACCAAGGCUACGAUGUCUAGGGGUCCUGAGAGGGUUAACACCCACACUGGUACUGAGACACGGACCAGACUCCUACGGGAGGCAGCAGUAAGGAAUAUUGGGCAAUGGACGCAAGUCUGACCCAGCCAUGCCGCGUGAAGGAUGACUGUCCUAUGGAUUGUAAACUUCUUUUAUGCAGGAAAAAUAUCCCGGUCGUGAACCGGGACGGAUGGUACUGUAUGAAUAAGCAUCGGCUAACUCCGUGCCAGCCGCCGCCGUAAGAC